UACGUAGGGUGCGAGCGUUAAUCGGAAUUACUGGGCGUAAAGCGUGCGCAGGCGGUUCGUUAAGUUCGAUGUGAGAGCCCCGGGCUCAACCUGGGAAUUGCAUUGGAAACUGGCGGGCUUGAGUGUGGCAGAGGGGGGUGGAAUUCCACGUGUAGCAGUGAAAUGCGUAGAGAUGUGGAGGAACACCGAUGGCGAAGGCAGCCCCCUGGGCUAACACUGACGCUCAGGCACGAAAGCGUGGGGAGCAAACAGG
rnacentral:rRNA from 1 species